rnacentral:rRNA from 1 species
CGGACGGGUGAGUAAUGUAUGGGGAUCUGCCUGAUGGCGGGGGGUAACUACUGGAAACGGUAGCUAAUACCGCAUAACGUCGCAAGACCAAAGAGGGGGACCUUCGGGCCUCUUGCCAUCGGAUGUGCCCAGAUGGGAUUAGCUAGUAGGUGGGGUAACGGCUCACCUAGGCGACGAUCCCUAGCUGGUCUGAGAGGAUGACCAGCCACACUGGAACUGAGACACGGUCCAG